GGGGCCGUUCCGGAUUCGACUGGGCGAGCAAAGUGCCGAUUGCAUGUCGAGGAUGAUCGUUUGCCUCGUAAAUCACCGAUCAAACAAAAUAACUGCGAACGAAGAGUACGCACUCGCCGCUUGACGGCGACGUCCUCUCUCUGACGGACACUAAGAGAGAGGGCGACAGCAGUGUCCUGGCACAAAGACUUCACUCAUCGGUCUGCGUGCGAGAUUUCAGAUGAGCCAGUCUGAAAGCCGCCUGCCUGUCGGCAAAGCCGGAGGACGAGAAACAAUAAAGACAGAAUAAACAUGUAGAUAUCGUCAUAAUGACGUCACAGGACAGGGGUUCAACUCCCCUCGGCUCCACCA
rnacentral:tmRNA from 1 species